GCCACGAUCUGCUAACGGCGCCUCCGUUGACGGAUGCCGUUGUCCCCGCCGGCGAGCAUGCCAGGAUCAACGACGUCGCCCCCAGCGGCGGUGUAUGAGCGAGUGCAAGGCUCGGUACCACCCAGCGAUGUGGUCCAAGUAGUGUUGAGGUAGAUGAGGGCGGAUGUAGGUCGGCCACCGCCGACCCGUUGAUAGCGCCUCUUUCUAUGGGAUACAUGCCUCGCGAGAUCACUUGGAGACACGGCGAUCACUCCAUGGCGUCGGCCGCGCGUCG